rnacentral:rRNA from 1 species
AGAGUUUGAUCCUGGCUCAGAAUCAACGCUGGCGGCGUGCCUAACACAUGCAAGUCGAACGCGAAAGGGACUUCGGUCCUGAGUAGAGUGGCGAACGGGUGAGUAACGCGUGGGUGACCUACCCUCAAGUGGGGGAUAACGUUCCGAAAGGGACGCUAAUACCGCAUGAUAUUCCGGGUUUGAAGACCUGGAAAUCAAAGCCGGGGACCGCAAGGCCUGGCGCUAGAGGAGGGGCCCGCGUCUGAUUAGCUAGUUGGCGGGGUAACGGCCCACCAAGGCGACGAUCAGUAGCCGGCCUGAGAGGGCGGACGGCCACACUGGGACUGAGACACGGCCCAGACUCCUACGGGAGGCAGCAGUGGGGAAUUGUUCGCAAUGGGCGCAAGCCUGACGACGCAACGCCGCGUGGAGGAUGAAGGUCUUCGGAUUGUAAACUCCUGUUGAUCGGGACGAAAAGCUCCAACCUAAUACGUUGGAGACUGACGGUACCGGUUGAGGAAGCCACGGCUAACUCUGUGCCAGCAGCCGCGGUAAUACAGAGGUGGCAAGCGUUGUUCGGAAUUACUGGGCGUAAAGGGCGCGUAGGCGGCCUUCUAAGUCGGACGUGAAAGCCCCAGGCUUAACCUGGGAACUGCGUCCGAUACUGGGAGGCUUGGAUUCGGGAGAGGGAUGCGGAAUUCCAGGUGUAGCGGUGAAAUGCGUAGAUAUCUGGAGGAACACCGGUGGCGAAGGCGGCAUCCUGGACCGAGAUCGACGCUGAGGCGCGAAAGCUAGGGGAGCAAACGGGAUUAGAUACCCCG